rnacentral:rRNA from 1 species
AGAUUAAGUUAUUAAGGGCGCACGGUGGAUGCCUUGGCACUAGAAGCCGAUGAAGGACGUUACUAACGACGAUAUGCUUUGGGGAGCUGUAAGUAAGCUUUGAUCCAGAGAUUUCCGAAUGGGGAAACCCAGCAUGAGUUAUGUCAUGUUAUCGAUAUGUGAAUACAUAGCAUAUCAGAAGGCACACCCGGAGAACUGAAACAUCUUAGUACCCGGAGGAAGAGAAAGAAAAUUCGAUUCCCUUAGUAGCGGCGAGCGAAACGGGAAGAGCCCAAACCAACAAGCUUGCUUGUUGGGGUUGUAGGACACUCUAUACGGAGUUACAAAGGACGACAUUAGACGAAUCAUCUGGAAAGAUGAAUCAAAGAAGGUAAUAAUCCUGUAGUCGAAAAUGUUGUCUCUCUUGAGUGGAUCCUGAGUACGACGGAGCACGUGAAAUUCCGUCGGAAUCUGGGAGGACCAUCUCCUAAGGCUAAAUACUCUCUAGUGACCGAUAGUGAACCAGUACCGUGAGGGAAAGGUGAAAAGCACCCCGGAAGGGGAGUGAAAUAGAACCUGAAACCGUGUGCUUACAAGUAGUCAGAGCCCGUUAAUGGGUGAUGGCGUGCCUUUUGUAGAAUGAACCGGCGAGUUACGAUUUGAUGCAAGGUUAAGCAGUAAAUGUGGAGCCGUAGCGAAAGCGAGUCUGAAUAGGGCGUUUAGUAUUUGGUCGUAGACCCGAAACCAGGUGAUCUACCCUUGGUCAGGUUGAAGUUCAGGUAACACUGAAUGGAGGACCGAACCGACUUACGUUGAAAAGUGAGCGGAUGAACUGAGGGUAGCGGAGAAAUUCCAAUCGAACCUGGAGAUAGCUGGUUCUCUCCGAAAUAGCUUUAGGGCUAGCCUCAAGUGAUGAUUAUUGGAGGUAGAGCACUGUUUGGACGAGGGGCCCCUCUCGGGUUACCGAAUUCAGACAAACUCCGAAUGCCAAUUAAUUUAACUUGGGAGUCAGAACAUGGGUGAUAAGGUCCGUGUUCGAAAGGGAAACAGCCCAGACCACCAGCUAAGGUCCCAAAAUAUAUGUUAAGUGGAAAAGGAUGUGGCGUUGCCCAGACAACUAGGAUGUUGGCUUAGAAGCAGCCAUCAUUUAAAGAGUGCGUAAUAGCUCACUAGUCGAGUGACACUGCGCCGAAAAUGUACCGGGGCUAAACAUAUUACCGAAGCUGUGGAUUGUCCUUUGGACAAUGGUAGGAGAGCGUUCUAAGGGCGUUGAAGCAUGAUCGUAAGGACAUGUGGAGCGCUUAGAAGUGAGAAUGCCGGUGUGAGUAGCGAAAGACGGGUGAGAAUCCCGUCCACCGAUUGACUAAGGUUUCCAGAGGAAGGCUCGUCCGCUCUGGGUUAGUCGGGUCCUAAGCUGAGGCCGACAGGCGUAGGCGAUGGAUAACAGGUUGAUAUUCCUGUACCACCUAUAAUCGUUUUAAUCGAUGGGGGGACGCAGUAGGAUAGGCGAAGCGUGCGAUUGGAUUGCACGUCUAAGCAGUAAGGCUGAGUAUUAGGCAAAUCCGGUACUCGUUAAGGCUGAGCUGUGAUGGGGAGAAGACAUUGUGUCUUCGAGUCGUUGAUUUCACACUGCCGAGAAAAGCCUCUAGAUAGAAAAUAGGUGCCCGUACCGCAAACCGACACAGGUAGUCAAGAUGAGAAUUCUAAGGUGAGCGAGCGAACUCUCGUUAAGGAACUCGGCAAAAUGACCCCGUAACUUCGGGAGAAGGGGUGCUCUUUAGGGUUAACGCCCAGAAGAGCCGCAGUGAAUAGGCCCAAGCGACUGUUUAUCAAAAACACAGGUCUCUGCUAAACCGUAAGGUGAUGUAUAGGGGCUGACGCCUGCCCGGUGCUGGAAGGUUAAGAGGAGUGGUUAGCUUCUGCGAAGCUACGAAUCGAAGCCCCAGUAAACGGCGGCCGUAACUAUAACGGUCCUAAGGUAGCGAAAUUCCUUGUCGGGUAAGUUCCGACCCGCACGAAAGGCGUAACGAUUUGGGCACUGUCUCAACGAGAGACUCGGUGAAAUCAUAGUACCUGUGAAGAUGCAGGUUACCCGCGACAGGACGGAAAGACCCCGUGGAGCUUUACUGUAGCCUGAUAUUGAAAUUCGGCACAGCUUGUACAGGAUAGGUAGGAGCCUUUGAAACGUGAGCGCUAGUUUACGUGGAGGCGCUGGUGGGAUACUACCCUAGCUGUGUUGGCUUUCUAACCCGCACCACUUAUCGUGGUGGGAGACAGUGUCAGGCGGGCAGUUUGACUGGGGCGGUCGCCUCCUAAAAGGUAACGGAGGCGCUCAAAGGUUCCCUCAGAAUGGUUGGAAAUCAUUCAUAGAGUGUAAAGGCAUAAGGGAGCUUGACUGCGAGACCUACAAGUCGAGCAGGGUCGAAAGACGGACUUAGUGAUCCGGUGGUUCCGCAUGGAAGGGCCAUCGCUCAACGGAUAAAAGCUACCCCGGGGAUAACAGGCUUAUCUCCCCCAAGAGUUCACAUCGACGGGGAGGUUUGGCACCUCGAUGUCGGCUCAUCGCAUCCUGGGGCUGUAGUCGGUCCCAAGGGUUGGGCUGUUCGCCCAUUAAAGCGGUACGCGAGCUGGGUUCAGAACGUCGUGAGACAGUUCGGUCCCUAUCCGUCGUGGGCGUAGGAAAUUUGAGAGGAGCUGUCCUUAGUACGAGAGGACCGGGAUGGACAUACCUCUGGUGUACCAGUUGUCGUGCCAACGGCAUAGCUGGGUAGCUAUGUGUGGACGGGAUAAGUGCUGAAAGCAUCUAAGCAUGAAGCCCCCCUCAAGAUGAGAUUUCCCAACUUCGGUUAUAAGAUCCCUCAAAGAUGAUGAGGUUAAUAGGUUCGAGGUGGAAGCAUGGUGACAUGUGGAGCUGACGAAUACUAAUCGAUCGAAGACUUAAUCAAAUU